GACGAACGCUGGCGGCGUGCUUAACACAUGCAAGUCGAACGGAAAGGCCCUGCUUUUGUGGGGUGGUCGAGGUGCCAACGGGGGAGUAACACGUGAGUAACCUGCCCCUGACUUUUGGAUAAAUUCAGGAAACUUGGGCUAAUACCGGGAAGGAGGUCCCGCUGCAUGGUGGGGGUUGGAAAGUUUCGGCGGUUGGGGGUGGACUCGCGGCUUAUCAGCUUGUUGGUGGGGUAGUGGCUUACCAAGGCUUUGACGGGUAGCCGGCCUGAGAGGGUGACCGGCCACAUUGGGACUGAGAUACGGCCCAGACUCCUACGGGAGGCAGCAGUGGGGAAUAUUGCACAAUGGGCGGAAGCCUGAUGCAGCAACGCCGCGUGCGGGAUGACGGCCUUCGGGUUGUAAACCGCUUUCGCCUGUGACGAAGCGUGAGUGACGGUAAUGGGUAAAGAAGCACCGGCUAACUACGUG
rnacentral:rRNA from 1 species